UGCAGUCGAGCGGACAGAAGGGAGCUUGCUCCCGGAUGUUAGCGGCGGACGGGUGAGUAACACGUGGGUAACCUGCCUGUAAGACUGGGAUAACUCCGGGAAACCGGAGCUAAUACCGGAUAGUUCCUUGAACCGCAUGGUUCAAGGAUGAAAGACGGUUUCGGCUGUCACUUACAGAUGGACCCGCGGCGCAUUAGCUAGUUGGUGGGGUAAUGGCUCACCAAGGCGACGAUGCGUAGCCGACCUGAGAGGGUGAUCGGCCACACUGGGACUGAGACACGGCCCAGACUCCUACGGGAGGCAGCAGUAGGGAAUCUUCCGCAAUGGACGAAAGUCUGACGGAGCAACGCCGCGUGAGUGAUGAAGGUUUUCGGAUCGUAAAGCUCUGUUGUUAGGGAAGAACAAGUGCGAGAGUAACUGCUCGCACCUUGACGGUACCUAACCAGAAAGCCACGGCUAACUACGUGCCAGCAGCCGCGGUAAUACGUAGGUGGCAAGCGUUGUCCGGAAUUAUUGGGCGUAAAGGGCUCGCAGGCGGUUUCUUAAGUCUGAUGUGAAAGCCCCCGGCUCAACCGGGGAGGGUCAUUGGAAACUGGGAAACUUGAGUGCAGAAGAGGAGAGUGGAAUUCCACGUGUAGCGGUGAAAUGCGUAGAGAUGUGGAGGAACACCAGUGGCGAAGGCGACUCUCUGGUCUGUAACUGACGCUGAGGAGCGAAAGCGUGGGGAGCGAACAGGAUUAGAUACCCUGGUAGUCCACGCCGUAAACGAUGAGUGCU
rnacentral:rRNA from 1 species